GGAUAUGCUAGGUAAUUAUAUUUGUUCUCAAAACACAAAAUAUAAAAGUUUCUAGUACCAAGACUAAUUUUAUUGAUAAGUUUAUGUCACGAUCAACAAAAGGAUGUCACUAAAUCAACACAAUUAUAUGUUAUUCAAUAAUUUUUUCUUGUUUUGGAUAUCUAUUUUUUUUAGAGUUAUUUAAAAAUAAGGCAUUAAAACACAACUGCCUUUCGCUUUUGGGCACUUUCCAAAUGCUUUCAUGAUUUAGGCAUCGAAAGUCAGCGAAUUGACCGAAUUGCCCUCCUCUCGCUGAUGUCAUUCUGCUACACUCUCUUCCAUGCGCAAGCUUCACUUUUUGGGAGAACAGGUACUCCGACGAAUACCAAUCGAUCUCUCGCUUCCAAUAACCUUCUUGUACUUUCUACCAGCGAUCUCGGAUUUACCGAUGCUUUCGAAAAUCUCGUCUUUAUCCUCCGUAAAUCUUCUUCCUCCUUGAAAUAUCUCCUUGGUUCCUCCGGGGUUCCUCUCUUCUCCACCUCCCGUCUCCGGAUUUUGUGGGUACUAUUUAUGUUUCUCUAAACUCAUUACAUAGUCCACACGAAUUUUCAAUAUUUCAAUAUAUCUUUUUACUCAUUUGGGCUUUGUUUGUCAAAUUCAGUAAGACAAAGUUAGAAGUCUGUUUUACAGGCAAGAUUCCAUUGCUUGGCUCUCUUAACUGGUCUUCCUCAUUCGUUUCAGAUUCAAUAAUCACUGAGGAAUGGAACUCUUUGUCUAACGCUAAUUUCUAAAGAUACAAAUAAGAUAGGGAGAUGGACGUGGAUAGAUGAAGAUGAAUGGAGAGCUUCUCCCAUCAUCUCUCAAACAGUCAUUUCUUUCAACAAUAUAUUACUAAUACAUACAUAGAUCGUGGAUAAAACAAAUAUGUAGCUUUGGACAAAAACAGUCUUUUAUCGCUUUUAUUUGAUGAACAAAACAAGCUUCUUCUGUUGCUUA